UACAGAGGGGGCAAGCGUUAUUCGGAAUUAUUGGGCGUAAAGGGCGCGUAGGCGGCUUGGCAAGUGGAUGGUGAAAUCCCUCGGCUUAACCGAGGAACGGCCGUCCAAACUGCUUCGCUUGAGACCGGGAGAGGUGAGUGGAAUUCCCAGUGUAGCGGUGAAAUGCGUAGAUAUUGGGAGGAACACCAGUGGCGAAGGCGGCUCACUGGACCGGUACUGACGCUGAAGCGCGAAAGCGUGGGGAGCGAACAGG
rnacentral:rRNA from 1 species